AACGCAUCUUGCACCCUUUGGCAUUCCGAAGGGUAUGCCUGUUUGAGUGUCUUUAACAACAUCAACUCUGUCCGUGAGGGUAACGCCUCUCGGGUGGAUGUUGGACGUGAGUGCUGCCGUGAUUCUUUUGCCGGCUCACUUGAAAAGCCUUAAGCCUGGUCUCUGACGGUCUUGACUCCUGUCGGGUUGGUGUGGUAGAACUCCCUAUGGGAUUUAAAUCGCCUCCGAUGGAUGCUGUCGACCUCGUGGUGGGCUUCCGUGAUUGUCCGCGCUUCGGUGUGGAACUUUUUGAUCGGACCUCAAAUCAGGUAGGACUACCCGCUGAACUUAA
rnacentral:misc_RNA from 1 species